UAACGCGAAGAACUUACCUGGCCUUGACAUCCAGAGAACUUAGCAGAGAUGCUUUGGUGCCUUCGGGAACUCUGAGACAGGUGCUGCAUGGCUGUCGUCAGCUCGUGUUGUGAAAUGUUGGGUUAAGUCCCGCAACGAGCGCAACCCUUAUCCUUUGUUGCCAGCGAUUCGGUCGGGAACUCAAAGGAGACUGCCGGUGAUAAACCGGAGGAAGGUGGGGAUGACGUCAAGUCAUCAUGGCCCUUACGGCCAGGGCUACACACGUGCUACAAUGGCGCAUACAAAGAGAAGCGACCUCGCGAGAGCAAGCGGACCUCAUAAAGUGCGUCGUAGUCCGGAUUGGAGUCUGCAACUCGACUCCAUGAAGUCGGAAUCAAGAAGUAAUCGUAGAUCAGAAUGCUACGGGAAAUGACG
rnacentral:rRNA from 1 species